rnacentral:misc_RNA from 1 species
UUUCCGUAGGUGAACCUGCGGAAGGAUCAUUAACGAACAGGGAGGAUGGGUCACCCAUCCUCUCAUCCUACAUAUUUACACCUGUGCACCCUUUGUAGGCUCUCUCGAAAGAGGGGGUCUAUGUUCCAAACGUACUCUAUGUACUACUAUACACAAUCCAAGGCCAGAAUGUCAUACAAUUUACAACUUUCAGCAACGGAUCUCUUGGCUCUC